rnacentral:rRNA from 1 species
ACGGGGUGCAGCAGGCGCGAAAACUCCACAAUGUACGCCAGUACGAUGGGGUUAUCUCGAGUGCCGACUGAAAAAGCCGGCUUUUCCACAGAGCAAUAUCCUGCGGGGAUAAGUGGGGGGCAAGACUGGUGUCAGCCGCCGCGGUAACACCAGCCCCUCGAGUGGUGGGGACUAUUAUUUGGCCUAAAGCGUCCGUAGCCGGCUGAAGCCGUCACCCGUUAAAUCCAGCGUCUCAAGCGUUGGACUGCGGGUGAUACCCUUCAGCUUGAGGGUGGGACAGGUCAGCGGUAUUCCCGGGGUAGGGGCGAAAUCCUUUGAUCCCAGGAGGACCACCAGUGGCGAAGGCUGCUCACUAGAACACGCCUGUUUUGUCAGGGACGAAAGCUGGGGUAGCGAACCGGAUUAGAUACCCGGGUA